ensembl:lncRNA
AUGCAUUAUGAUGAGUUUGCUUAUGAAGUGAAAGAAUGGUUAUUGGGUUGCGAACAUUUACAUUUAAAGGGUGAACAUGGUGUUGAUGAUGAUGUUAAGCCAGAGGACAGUGUUUCAAAUGUUGUUGGGAAAUCUUCAGUCACUAAAAGCUCAUGUAGUGGUAAAGUGAGCACAACUUCCUCUGCCAAAAUAAAAGCAAAAGCAGAAAAGGCAGCAUUACUCGCUCGUAUGGCAGUCCUAAAGGAGAAGCAUGCUUUGGAGGAGCAAGAACUAAAGCUAAGGAGAAAACGUGAACAGCUUGGGCUUGAAGCUUUGCUUUCUGCCUCUUCUGCAAAGUUAGCUGUUCUCCAAGCUGCUGAAAUUCAAAGUGUAUCUCAAAUAUCGUCCAAUGCUAUGAAUUCAUAUUAUGAAAGGGAAAUCAGGAAAACGGCUGCUUCAGCCGCAGUCAAGCCCAGUACACCAGUCAAUGAAGAUAAACCUGCAAAGCAAAUAUUACAGACUGAAAGCAACAUAUCUGCAAGGAUCCUGCCAGAAACAGAAAUGAGUGAGCCACAAGCUCAAACGGUCAUCACAACACAAUUUCACAAUGUGGAUCCUCCACCACCCAGGCCGAUUCCUACAGCGGGAGAAAGACAGUCGGAGGACAUUUGUACCAUUUUACAAAGACAAAAUGAAAUAACUGCAACCCUUGUUCAGCAUCAGCGUUCAUCGUCAUUACCAUCCAGGAAAAUACCUGUAUUCGAUGGGGAUCCUCUUCAGUACAUCUCUUUCAUUAAUGCGUUUGAACAAGGAGUGGAAGAAAACGCCAAUAUGAAGGACUGCUUGUAUUAUUUGGAGCAGUUUACAACAGGACAGCCGAGAGAGCUGGCACGCAGUUGUCAACAUAUGGCUGCAGGACAAGGCUAUACACAAGCAAAGCAACUGCUCAAAGAACACUUAGGAAAUGAAUAUAAAAUUGCAACUGCUUACGUUGAAAAGGCAUUAUCUUGGCCUGCAAUUAAAAAUGAAGAUGUGAAAUCAUUGCAAGCAUAUUCUCUUUUCUUACGUGGGAGUUGUAAUGUCAUGAAAACAUUGCAGUAUAUGCAGGAACUGGACAUGCCAGUGAACAUGAAAAUCAUUUUGUGCAAGUUGCCAUAUAAAAUGAGAGAGAAAUGGAGAGCCUUUGCAUAUGAUAUAUUGGAAACUUCUAAACACAGAGCUCGGUUUCAAGAUUUGGUUGCAUUUAUUGAAAAGCAGGUGAAAAUUCUUUCGGAUCCUUUAUUUGGGGACAUUCAGAAUCUAUCGUCAACAAUCCCUGUCUCAAAGGCUGACAACAGGCUGAAGUCACAGCCAAUCACACAAAUUAAAGGGAACAGCUUUGCUGCUACAGUCACACCCAUGACCAUGAAUAAAACCUACAGCACGGAAAGGCUGAUUACCACAACAAACCAUGACUUUACAGUAAAGCCAUCUUGUGUCUGCUGUACUCAACUGGAGGAGUGUCAACAGUUUCAGCGGAAGAAGCACAGAGACAAAAUGCUUUUUCUAAAGGAGAAAGGGCUGUGUUUUGGUUGCUUAGGUGCUGGGCACAUAAGUAAAGACUGUGCUAAGCGUUUGACAUGUAGGACGUGUGGUAAAGGUCAUCCCACUGUCCUCCAUAUUGAUAACAAUGGUUUAAGUCCAGAAACCUCUGGAGAGCCCUCCUCUCCAAAGAAUGUAACUCCUAUGAAAACUUGUGGUCAUACAGGGGCCGGAAGAGACAGCGGUUUGCGUUCCAUUCUGCCAGUUCAAAUAAAGUCUGUUAAAAGUAGUCAUGUCAUACAGACAUAUGCUUUUUUAGAUCCUGGCAGUUCAGCUAGCUUCUGUUCAGAGCACCUCAUGCAAAAGCUAAAUCUUGUGGGCAAAAGAACUCACUUCCUGUUACAAACGAUGGGUCAAGAAAAGGUCGUCUCUGCCCACUCACUUACUGGUCUUGAAGUUUCUGGUUUAGGCAGCAAUGCCUUCUAUGAACUUCCAGAAAUCCUAACACAGGAAAGGAUGCCUGUCACCACAGAUAACCUUGUAAAGGAAGAAGAUCUGGUCAGGUGGCCAUAUCUGUCAAAGGUUCAAAUUCCCCACAUAAUGGCUAACGUGGACCUGUUGAUUGGAUGCAACGCUCCCAAGUUAUUGGAACCAUGGGAGGUCAUUCAUAGCCAGGGGAAUGGCCCAUGUGCUGUAAGAAUGGCAUUGGGUUGGGUCAUAAAUGGGCCCAUGGAGGAUGGGAAAAACAACUUGGACAGUGAGCACCCACCAACAGUUGUAAAUAGGAUAUCUGUUUGUAAGCUGUAG